rfam:Ovis aries breed Texel chromosome 6, whole genome shotgun sequence.
UCCCAGGUGACUCAGUGGUAAAGAAUCUGUCUCCAAUGCAGGAGAUGCAAGAGACACAGGUUCAAUCCCUGGCUAGGGAA